UACGGAGGGUGCGAGCGUUGUUCGGAAUCACUGGGCGUAAAGCGCGUGUAGGCGGCCUUUUAAGUCUGAUGUGAAAGCCCGGGGCUUACCCCCGGAAGUGCAUUGGAAACUGGGAGGCUGGAGUACCGGAGAGGAAGGUGGAAUUCCUGGUGUAGCGGUGAAAUGCGUAGAGAUCGGGAAGAACAUCGGUGGCGAAGGCGGCCUGCUGGGCUCUUGCUGACACUGAUGCGCGACAGCGUGGGGAGCAAACAGG
rnacentral:rRNA from 1 species